UGUACGUGCAUUGUCAUCCCUAUAUAGGUGCAUAUUACUAAAGCACUCUUUAAAAAAAUAUGCACCCUUGACUUUACAUCAAGUUUUAGUUGGUCAAUGUGCAAACAAUGAGCCUGAACUCGUUUUGAUGACUGCGUCAGGGCUGAAACUAGCAAAAACCCUUGAUCGCCUCUUACACUGCAUUACACUGGGUGUAUAAAAGGGCCCCCUAUCACUCUUCAGCUUGAGAAUAAGGAGAGACACAAAUAACCAAGAAGAGGAAGACAAAACUUCUCAUUAUGUUUCAUGCAUCACAUACAAGUGUUAUAACCACCAACAGUCCAUCUGUGAACAACGCCUGUCCAUCUUGUUCAACUUGUGCAUUGACAUAGACGCUCAUUACAACACGAGGUUUGAUAUGGAGAUGUGUUUCAGAAUAUCUCUGAUGUUUCUGCUCAUGACUGCUGAUGUUGAUGGUCAGCAGGAUUGGGGGAAUUACAUCCCUUCAUAUGUUUGUGCGUUAAGAGGCUCAACAGUGAGAUUAUCUUGUACUUUAAAACAACCUCAUGAUAGCGUUAAAGCAGCCAUCUGGACCAAAUCAGCAAAUACAGGAUCAAACCUGUGCCCAGACACAAAUAACAGAGGAAGAGUUCAGUGUGUUUACAGUGACUCUACAGACACUCACAGCUUAACUUUGACACAAGUGACAGAAGCUGAUAAAAACAUCUACUACUGCAUAUUUACAACAAAAUGUGUAUACUACAGUUGUGUGGAUAAAAUAAUAGGGACUCCUGGAGUUCAGCUUGAUGUCACAGGUAAUGAAAUAAAACAGUGAAUCACAUUAACACACAGAGAACAUGAGAGAUUAUAUCAUUAAACUGUGGUCUGAUAUAAAAGAAUAAGAUGUCUUAUAAUAUUGAUCUAAUUUAUUCUGUAAUGACAUUGAUAAGAUUUCAGUGAUAAUGGACUAACAGAGAGUUUGUUGUUGUUCUGCUGUCAGACCUGCAGGUGGAGACAAAUCAGAGAGUGAAAGAGGGAGAUUCAGUGACUCUUACAUGUAAAACUACCUGCAGUCUGACUGAAGAAACACACUGUAAAAAGAAUACUGUGAAAAAUACAGUAACUUGCUGGCAGCAAUUAGCUAGUAAGUUGCUGUAUUUCAUUUCACAGUAUUCUUACUGUAAAUGUAACUGCAGUAAAAUUAAAAUUACUGUGAACUCUUUUACAGUAAUAAUGACAGUACUGUAUUUCAUAACUACUACUGUAAUAGGGAUUACUGCAUUUAUUUUGUGUACUGUAAAAUGAAGACUCUGUUUGUCACAAAAAUGCCAUUU